rnacentral:rRNA from 1 species
GUCCACGCCCUAAACGAUGCAUACUUGGUGUGAGCGAUUCAUUUCGUUCGUGCCGGAGCUAACGCGUUAAGUAUGCCGCCUGGGGAGUACGGUAGCAAGGCUGAAACUCAAAGGAAUUGACGGGGGCCCCGCACAAGCGGUGGAGCAUGUGGUUCAAUUCGACGCAACGCGAAGAACCUUACCUGGGCUCGAACGGCUUCGGACCGUCCUGGAAACAGGAUUUUCUCGCAAGAGACCGGAGUCGAGGUGCUGCAUAGCUGUCGU